GGACCCGCACAAGCGGUGGAUGAUGUGGUUUAAUUCGAUGCAACGCGAAAAACCUUACCUACCCUUGACAUGCCUGGAAUCCUGCAGAGAUGUGGGAGUGCCCGAAAGGGAGCCGGGACACAGGUGCUGCAUGGCUGUCGUCAGCUCGUGUCGUGAGAUGUUGGGUUAAGUCCCGCAACGAGCGCAACCCUUGCCAUUAGUUGCUACGAAAGGGCACUCUAAUGGGACUGCCGGUGACAAACCGGAGGAAGGUGGGGAUGACGUCAAGUCCUCAUGGCCCUUAUGGGUAGGGCUACACACGUCAUACAAUGGCUGGUACAGAGGGUUGCCAACCCGCGAGGGGGAGCUAAUCCCAUAAAACCAGUCGUAGUCCGGAUCGUAGUCUGCAACUCGACUGCGUGAAGUCGGAAUCGCUAGUAAUCGCGGAUCAGCAUGUCGCGGUGAAUACGUUCCCGGGUCUU
rnacentral:rRNA from 1 species